rnacentral:rRNA from 1 species
CAGUCGCCGCGGGAAUACGAAGGGGGCUAGCGUUGCUCGGAAUGACUGGGCGUAAAGGGCGCGUAGGCGGCCAUUCAAGUUAGAUGUGAAAGCCCUGGGCUCAACCUAGGAAUUGCAUUUGAUACUGUUUGGCUUGAGUUCGGGAGAGGUGAGUGGAAUUCCCAGUGUAGAGGUGAAAUUCGUAGAUAUUGGGAAGAACACCAGUGGCGAAGGCGGCUCACUGGACCGACACUGACGCUGAGGCGCGAAAGCGUGGGGAGCAAACAGGAUUAGAUACCCCCGUAGUCCCUGUCUCUUAUAC